rnacentral:rRNA from 1 species
GCAUUUAGCGAUGGACCAUUCAAGUUUCUGACCUAUCAGCUUUCGACGGUAUGGUAUUGGCUUACCGUGGCAGUGACGGUUAACGGGGGAUUAGGGUUCGAUUCCGGAGAGGGAGCCUGAGAAACGGCUACCACAUCUAAGGAAGGCAGCAGGCGCGCAAAUUACCCAAUUCUAACAGUUUGAGAGAGGUAGUGACAAGAAAUAACAAUACAGG